rnacentral:rRNA from 1 species
AUUGAACGCUGGCGGCAGGCCUAACACAUGCAAGUCGAGCGAGCGGCGUACGGGUGAGUAAUGUAUGGGGAUCUGCCCGAUUGAGGGGGAUAACUACUGGAAACGGUGGCUAAUACCGCAUACUAUCGGAUGUACCCAGAUGGGAUUAGUUAGUAGGUGGGGUAAAGGCUCACCUAGGCGACGAUCUCUAGCUGGUCUGAGAGGAUGAUCAGUCAAACUGGGACUGAGAAAAGGCGCAGAGUCGUAGGGGAGGCAGAAGAGGGGAAGAUGGAACAAUGGGAGAAGGACUGAAACAGCGAUGCCGCGAGUAUGAAGAAGGCCUUAGGGUUGUAAAGUACUAUCAGCGGGGAGGGGUUAACCGCAGAAGAAGCACCGGCUAACUCCGUGCCAGCAGCCGCGGUAAUAC